rnacentral:rRNA from 1 species
GACGAACGCUGGCGGCGUGCUUAACACAUGCAAGUCGAACGGAAAGGCCCUGCUUUUGUGGGGUGCUCGAGUGGCGAACGGGUGAGUAACACGUGAGUAACCUGCCCUUGACUUUGGGAUAACUUCAGGAAACUGGGGCUAAUACCGGAUAGGAGCUCCUGCUGCAUGGUGGGGGUUGGAAAGUUUCGGCGGUUGGGGAUGGACUCGCGGCUUAUCAGCUUGUUGGUUGGGUAGUGGCUUACCAAGGCUUUGACGGGUAGCCGGCCUGAGAGGGUGACCGGCCACAUUGGGACUGAGAUACGGCCCAGACUCCUACGGGAGGCAGCAGUGGGGAAUAUUGCACAAUGGGCGGAAGCCUGAUGCAGCAACGCCGCGUGCGGGAUGACGGCCUUCGGGUUGUAAACCGCUUUCGCCUGUGACGAAGCGUGAGUGACGGUAAUGGGUAAAGAAGCACCGGCUAGCUACGUG